AACCUUCUUCUCUUCAUCCGCCGCACACCUCCGCCUCCCUCUCUCGCGCCGUCGCUCGACCAAGCCACACCACGCCACCAACAGCCCAUCGCCGACUGUCGUCUCGGUACCAUGCCCUCUCCCUUGCAUUUUCGCCCUGGUGCCUCUACCAUGCCGCCGGCCGUGAGCCCACUGUCGAUGUCGUGCCACUAGAGACGAAUGCCACAUCACCCGAUCACACGGUGUUGCUUAAGUCGUUGCUCGUCGGAGCUUCUAAUCCCUUAAGCUCUCAUCUACAUCUCUGCUAGGUACACCUCUCUGUAGAUCUCUCCUCCACACGACCCGAUCUUCAGCGAAAGGGGUGAGAAAUUCGAGCCCUAGCUUCGCUGGACUUGGAGCUCGCUGGAAUCAGGGGUGGUCGGCAUUCUAGACGGUGACUUCUUGCUCCAGUACCCUGAAAUCGAGCCUCCACCCUCAAGCCCUUCUCAACCGACCCCAACAGCUACUUGCGGUGGUUCUUGGUUGGGGAAAGAAGCUGCCUACAUGUUGGGGUCUGUGGCAGCAGGCACCACCAUCGAGCAUUUUUCCGGCAAUUGCUCUUCUUGGCCGAGGAUCAACAGAGGCGAAUUCGUCUUAGAAUAAAGGAAAAAGCUGGAUGAGCUAAAGGAGCAGCAGGAGAGGCAAGGAGAUGUGUGUGGCAG